GGCUAUAUAAAGGAAAAAAAGAAAAUGUAAGAGGGUCUUCUUCCGAUUUUGGGUAUCAAAAAACAAGGGAUUCAAUCUAAAAAUAAAAAAGGAGGCAGAUUCAAGGUCUUUUCUUUCUCAAGUUUUGAAGUUUAUUUAUUUAUUUUGUUCUCUUUUCUCUUCAUACACACACAUAAAAUAAAUAUAGUAAAAAGGGAGUUAAAAAGGGUCAUACCUACGCCGUGCCGGAGGAGGAGAAGGCGAGGGAUUUUGGCCCAUUUUCGAGUCUUUGGCUCCCCCUUUUUACGAGUUUC
rnacentral:lncRNA from 1 species